CCUAUUGGCUGUUUUUGCAUCAGA
rnacentral:miRNA from 1 species